CAACUCGACUACAUGAAGCUGGAAUCGCUAGUAAUCGCGGAUCAGAAUGCCGCGGUGAAUACGUUCCCGGGUCUUGUACACACCGCCCGUCACACCAUGGGAGUCGGGAAUGCCCGAAGCCAGUGACCCAAGCGAGAGCAGGGAGCUGUCGAAGGCAGGCCGGAUAACUGGGGUGAAGUCGUAACAAGGUACC
rnacentral:rRNA from 1 species